GGGUUGUGAGGUUAAGCGACUAAGCGUACACGGUGGAUGCCCUGGCAGUCAGAGGCGAUGAAGGACGUGCUAAUCUGCGAUAAGCGCCGGUAAGGUGAUAUGAACCGUUAUAACCGGCGAUUUAGUGGAAGCGUCUGGAAAGGCGCGCGAUACAGGGUGACAGCCCCGUACACAAAAGCGCAUGUGCUGUGAGCUCGAUGAGUAGGGCGGGACACGUGGUAUCCUGUCUGAAUAUGGGGGGACCAUCCUCCAAGGCUAAAUACUCCUGACUGACCGAUAGUGAACCAGUACCGUGAGGGAAAGGCGAAAAGAACCCCGGCGAGGGGAGUGAAAAAGAACCUGAAACCGUGUACGUACAAGCAGUGGGAGCACAGGUUUACCUGUGUGACUGCGUACCUUUUGUAUAAUGGGUCAGCGACUUAUAUUCUGUAGCAAGGUUAACCGWAUAGGGGAGCCGGAGGGAAACCGAGUCUUAAYYGGGCGUUAAGUUGCAGGGUAUAGACCCGAAACCCGGUGAUCUAGCCAUGGGCAGGUUGAAGGUUGGGUAACACUAACUGGAGGACCGAACCGACUAAUGUUGAAAAAUUAGCGGAUGACCUGUGGCUGGGGGUGAAAGGCCAAUCAAACCGGGAGAUAGCUGGUUCUCCCCGAAAGCUAUUUAGGUAGCGCCUCGUGAAUUCAUCUCCGGGGGUAGAGCACUGUUUCGGCUAGGGGGCCAUCCCGGCUUACCAACCCGAUGCAAACUGCGAAUACCGGAGAAUGUUAUCACGGGAGACACACGGCGGGUGCUAACGUCCGUCGUGAAGAGGGAAACAACCCAGACCGCCAGCUAAGGUCCCAAAGUCAUGGUUAAGUGGGAAACGAUGUGGGAAGGCCCAGACAGCCAGGAUGUUGGCUUAGAAGCAGCCAUCAUUUAAAGAAAGCGUAAUAGCUCACUGGUCGAGUCGGCCUGCGCGGAAGAUGUAACGGGGCUAAACCAUGCACCGAAGCUGCGGCAGCGA
rnacentral:rRNA from 1 species